AACGAACGCUGGCGGCAGGCCUAACUCAUGCAAGUCGAACGCUGUAGCAAUACAGAGUGGCAGACGGGUGAGUAACGCGUGGGAACAUUCCUAGUGGUACGGAAUAGCUCAGGGAAACUUGGGGUAAUACCGUAUAAGCCCUUACGGGGAAAGAUUUAUCGCCAUUAGAUUGGCCCGCGUUGGAUUAGCUAGUUGGUGAGGUAACGGCUCACCAAGGCGACGAUCCAUAGCUGGUUUGAGAGAAUGACCAGCCACACUGGGACUGAGACACGGCCCAGACUCCUACGGGAGGCAGCAGUGGGGAAUCUUGGACAAUGGGCGCAAGCCUGAUCCAGCCAUGCCGCGUGAGUGACGAAGGCCUUCGGGUUGUAAAGCUCUUUUGACGGGGACGAUAAUGACGGUACCCGUAGAAUAAGUCCCGGCUAACUUCGUGCCAGCCGCCGCGGUAA
rnacentral:rRNA from 1 species